rnacentral:rRNA from 1 species
UACGGAGGGUGCAAGCGUUAUCCGGAUUCAUUGGGUUUAAAGGGUGCGCAGGCGGGUUUGUCAGUCAGUGGUGAAAUCCUACGGCUUAACCGUGGAACUGCCAUUGAUACUGCAAGUCUUGAGUAUAGUUGAAGUGGGCGGAAUGUAGCAUGUAGCGGUGAAAUGCAUAGAUAUGCUACAGAACACCAAUUGCGAAGGCAGCUCACUAAGUUAUAACUGACGCUCAUGCACGAAAGCGUGGGGAUCAAACAGG